rnacentral:rRNA from 1 species
AUGUUAGCGGCGGACGGGUGAGUAACACGUGGGUAACCUGCCUGUAAGACUGGGAUAACUCCGGGAAACCGGGGCUAAUACCGGAUGGUUGUUUGAACCGCAUGGUUCAAACAUAAAAGGUGGCUUCGGCUACCACUUACAGAUGGACCCGCGGCGCAUUAGCUAGUUGGUGAGGUAACGGCUCACCAAGGCAACGAUGCGUAGCCGACCUGAGAGGGUGAUCGGCCACACUGGGACUGAGACACGGCCCAGACUCCUACGGGAGGCAGCAGUAGGGAAUCUUCCGCAAUGGACGAAAGUCUGACGGAGCAACGCCGCGUGAGUGAUGAAGGUUUUCGGAUCGUAAAGCUCUGUUGUUAGGGAAGAACAAGUACCGUUCGAAUAGGGCGGUACCUUGACGGUACCUAACCAGAAAGCCACGGCUAACUACGUGCCAGCAGCCGCGGUAAUACGUAGGUGGCAAGCGUUGUCCGGAAUUAUUGGGCGUAAAGGGCUCGCAGGCGGUUUCUUAAGUCUGAUGUGAAAGCCCCCGGCUCAACCGGGGAGGGUCAUUGGAAACUGGGGAACUUGAGUGCAGAAGAGGAGAGUGGAAUUCCACGUGUAGCGGUGAAAUGCGUAGAGAUGUGGAGGAACACCAGUGGCGAAGGCGACUCUCUGGUCUGUAACUGACGCUGAGGAGCGAAAGCGUGGGGAGCGAACAGGAUUAGAUACCCUGGUAGUCCACGCCGUAAACGAUGAGUGCUAAGUGUUAGGGGGUUUCCGCCCCUUAGUGCUGCAGCUAACGCAUUAAGCACUCCGCCUGGGGAGUACGGUCGCAAGACUGAACUCAAAGGAAUUGACGGGGGCCCGCACAAGCGGUGGAGCAUGUGGGUUUAAUUCGAAGCAACGCGAGAUCCUUACCAGGUCUUGACAUCCUCUGACAAUCCUAGAGAUAGGACGUCCCUCUUCGGGGGCAGAGUGACAGUGGUGCAUGAUGUCGUCAGCUCGUGUCGUGAGAUGUGGGUUAAGUCCCGCAACGAGCGCAACCUUUGAUCUUAGUUGCCAGCAUUCAGUUGGGCA